UACGUAGGGGGCAAGCGUUGUCCGGAUUUACUGGGCGUAAAGAGCGUGUAGGCGGCCACGCAGGUCCGUUGUGAAAACUGGAGGCUCAACCUCCAGCUGUCGACGGAAACCGUGUGGCUAGAGUCCGGAAGAGGAGAGUGGAAUUCCUGGUGUAGCGGUGAAAUGCGCAGAUAUCAGGAGGAACACCGAUGGCGAAGGCAGGUCUCUGGGCCAUAACUGACGCUGAGAAGCGAAAGCAUGGGGAGCGAACAGGA
rnacentral:rRNA from 1 species